rnacentral:lncRNA from 1 species
AACCCAGGACGAGAGUAUGUAUUUGCUGCAGUCGAAGGUUCAAUGUUUUGUUUUUGUUACCCAUACGAAGUUGGUUUCCUGAAGGCCAAGGUUCGAAACUUAGAAACAUUGUGUACCGGAAUAUAUACUGAAUACAUAGAAAAUAACAAUACUUUGGAAAUAUAUCCACUAAUUGGAUUCUGCAUCUCCGCAUAUGAAAAUAUUCAAGCUAAUUCAUUGAUGUCACAGUAAUCAGUGCAACAUUAUUGUACACUUGAAUAAAAUCUUUACGAAAAGUAUGGAUGGUGAAUAAAGCAGUAGAUAAAAAUUGGCACAUAUGUAGAUACUAAUAAUGGUGAUUGACGAAGUUCCUUUGGUAUCAACAUACUACAAUUUUGUCCCGAGCGAAGGGAAUAUGCUGG